rnacentral:sRNA from 1 species
UCAUGUGCAAUUCAACGUCACACAUAUACCGGCACAGCUCGUCUGGGUGCCCGCUGGCCUUUUCAGACUGACGGGUUGACGACUGGGGUAUAUGGAGGCUUAAC